rnacentral:lncRNA from 1 species
CGGGUUUAACAGUCGUGCAAAUGACUGCUUCGGGGGUGGGGGGAGGGGGGAGGAGCUGUGCACGCCUGUCCUGGGUCCUAGGAAGCCACAUGGGCUCCAGCUGUCACCUGCAGGGGUGAUGGACUCUACAAGGGGUGGGGGUGGGGCAUUGUUUUGUGUUUUAGCGAGUAAAUCUCUGCGUCACAGUGAGAGACCUUGGCUGCCACCUUUACAAAGUUACACGAGGCAGCGUCUGCUGAGCCUAGCAAUUUGGGCUUCUUUCUAAUAUGCCUGCACGCCAGAAAGGUUGAAAGACAACAACAAAACCUCACCACAGCCUAAAUCAAUAUUCCUAACUCUGGCCUGAGCACAUUACAGAUGCCAAUGGGUGAGACUUUGCAUUCGAUAAAGUAAGCGCAUUUCAUUUUGUUGGGUCCCUUGCCUGCGUCUGCCCCUCAUCAAAGUGUCCCACUCUAGAAAAACAGAGGCCAACCUUCUCUUCCCGCUCUUCUUCCUCCCCGCUCCCAGGUUGGUUGACACCUUCUGCAUCUGCGAAGGGUACAGUGUGUGUGCCUCGCUGCCUCAUGUAUGAGAUUUACAUGGAGACCUGCAGGCAAAAUGCUCAGAACCAAGUCAACCCAGCCACGUUUGGGAAGCUCGUGCACUUGGUUUUCCCUGAUCUUGGCACCCGGAGGUGGGGCACAAGAGGAAGUGCCAGGUAUCAUUAACGACGGGAUCCGUAUCAAGAAAAGUUCUUUCUUCUAUGCCCAGUACUGCUGCCUUCUAGGUGAAAAAAGAUACCACAGGUUAGUACCUGUCAUUUAGGUCACAGCCUGAUCCGUAUGAGGACCGUUCGUACUUUGAACCUAACUGGCUUUUCGGCUGUUGUGCCGUUCAUCCUUCUUAAGGAUGGAAGUACACACAUCACAUGACCAUGCCUCUGACACGGGCCACAUCGUUGGCCAGAGAAAUGCACAUCGCGUUCACUUCCUCGGAUACUGUUCAUUUUCAUCCUCAUCUCAGUGGCCAAAGCCGUUUUGCACAAAGUCUUUGUCCUUCUCCAUCCCUCUGUCAAAUAUGACAGAAUGAGCCACUUCCUGCGCGAAACUUCCUCUAGCGCUCAGGACUCUGCGUCAUCCAGUUCCUUCCCCAGAAUGAGCCCUUCUUGGUCUCCUUACCUCUUCCCGCCGCCCCCAGGGCAUGCAUCUCCCUGAGAUCCAACCGUUCGUAAUCCAUGAUGCUCUUCCCCCACUUUGACCCCAAGACACCUCAUCCCUUUCUGUCUUCCACCUGCCUCUCCGUCCAUGGAUGACUCCUUCUAAAUCACUUGUGCUUCUCAUCUCUCCCACCUCCUAGGCUUUUCUGUCUGGCUGCCUACUGGACAUUUCCAUCCAGAAGACCCACUGGUAUCUCACACUGAGGAUGCAGAAAUUUAACUUCAUCCUCUCCCUCCAAUCACUUCUGCCUCUUGACGUCCCUAUUUCCAUCUGCGAUCCCAAUAGAUACAACCUGUGCAGGGCGUCACCCGAAAGCCAUCCUUGACUCCCUCGGGUCACAAGUCCUGUUAAUUCUUCCCUUUCGGGUCUCCUGACCACUCUUUAUGGUUACUGAUGUUUCCUUGAAGCCCUGGUCAUCUCAUAAUAAUCAGGAUUAUUUCCGUGGAUCCCACGUGACCUCCCUCUCUUCAGCCUCACCUCUCUGUAAACACAGCCGUGAGUAAAGCAACUACACUCUGGUAAAAAUUAAUUUAAAAAAUUAAAUUAAAAGUAUAAUAAUAAAUAAAUAAAUGGAAGGAGUAAGAAAAUAAUGGAUAAUCUUGAUUUGGCAAAACUUAAAACUUCUUUAUCUUAAAUAAUUAAAGGGAAAUUCCAUGUGUCUGUGGGCCACAUUCUUUGAUAUAAUUUAACAAAUAUAAUACUUAAUAGCAAAAUAUUCAUGUUAAUUCAUAUGAAGGCCGAGAACCCAGCAGCACCAAAACCAAAAAGAGAUAUUUAAAAAAGAGAAAUAUGAAUUCUGAAACAUAUCAAGAAACCUUAAUACCUUAAGGAAUUCUAUGAAAACUGUCUUUGUAACACUACUCAUUAAUAUAAAUACAAACCCCUAAAUUUCAAAAGAAGUAAAUAAAUAAAUACACACAACUGUGAGACUAACCUCCCCACCAUUCUGCAUUUUCUUUGUCUCUUUCUUGCUCAGAAACACUCAGGAGCUUGCUCUACCUCCUGCGUGAAGCCUACGCACCCCCCUUUCCCAGACUGGUGUCCGCCCCCCAGAUCCUUCCUACUGCACUUUAUCCGACCCUGUUGCCAGUUUCUCCCCCAUAUAAACUGCCGGUUUCAGCC